ACUCCUACGGGAAGGCAGCAGGUGGGGUAAUUUUGGACAAUGGGGCAACCCUGAUCCAGCCAUGCCGCGUGCAGGAUGAAGGCCUUCGGGUUGUAAACUGCUUUUGUACGGAACGAAAAGACUCUGGUUAAUACCUGGGGUCCAUGACGGUACCGUAAGAAUAAGCACCGGCUAACUACGUGCCAGCAGCCGCGGUAAU
rnacentral:rRNA from 1 species